rnacentral:rRNA from 1 species
UACGUAGGAUGCAAGCGUUGUCCGGAAUUAUUGGGCGUAAAGAGCGCGCAGGCGGUCUAUCAAGUCAGAUGUGAAAUAUCCAGGCUUAACCUGGAGGGGUCAUUUGAAACUGGUAGACUAGAGUACAGCAGAGGAGUAGUGGAAUUCCCGGUGUAGUGGUGAAAUGCGUAGAUAUCGGGAGGAACACCGAUGGCGAAGGCAGGUCUCUGGGCCGAUACUGACACUGAGGCACGAAAGCGUGGGGAGCCA